GUCUUCGGCCAUACCACCUUGAAUUCACACAACAUCAUCUGAUCUUGGAAGCCAGGAUGGGCCUGGUUAGUACUUGGAUGGGAGAAAAUAAAAUAACGAUUGACU
rnacentral:rRNA from 1 species